rnacentral:lncRNA from 1 species
GUUUCGGCUCUUCCUUGCGCCCCUAAGGUCUUUCUCUUUUCCUAGGUACUGCUCUACGGAAAUCAAUAUCGAAUAGAACGAGUUCUGGUUCCCCAAUCAAGCUACCAGUUCGACAUGCUCAACACUUGCCAAUCUCCCUUCUCGUUUGAGGGUUACACUAGCGCUAGGCGAACGUUCUGAUCCAGCUACCCCAACAACUCCUUAUUCCAAAAUGGGCAUUCAUCCGUGGAGUGGCCAAUGGGAAACUUAUUCCCCUUUUUAGGCCUCUCCUCAAAAGAGGUUGGAUUAGGAAAUUCAUACUUGAAGAGGAAGGAAAGGACCAAGGGUGCUUUCAUUGGACGGUAAGGUACCGAUCAGAUCAAGGAAUUGAGUAAAUAAUGCGACUUGAGCGGCCACUCUUUCCCCGCUGUGCGCAAGAUUCAGGAGUCAUUUUCAUUUGGUGGUAUCGAAUAAUAUAGAUAUAGAAAUUCUUUCUUUAGUUUAUCGUAUAAAAUAUAAAGGAAAGGCUGCAUUUAGGAGUGAUACGCUAACUAGAGAAAUUUCAUAAGAGAAGAAGAAAAGUAAAGGUUUUGAUUCGCCUUGAGUAAACAAAAAAAAAUCGCGUCAUACUUGACUUUUUCUUUAUAGAUUUUCUUUAUGUUCAGUCUAUCGAACCUAUGACUUUCUAUAUAUAGAUUGUCUUUGUGUUCAGUUUACCUUGUCUAGCCAAAACCCGGAACGGUGGGUACACGAUCUCAAGCUCUUUUCUAACUUGCUUUCGAAAAGCCAGUGCCCAAAGGUACUCUAUUGAGC